rnacentral:rRNA from 1 species
UCAAGCAUUAAGAGCGCAGGGUGGAUGCCUUGGCACUGAGAGCCGAUGAAGGACGUGAUAAGCUGCGAAAAGCUUCGGGGAGGAGCAAAUAUCCAUUGAUCCGGAGAUAUCCGAAUGGGGAAACCCACUUGAGCAAACCUCAAGUAUCCAUACGCCAAUCCAUAACGUAUGGAAGGGAACCGGGGGAACUGAAACAUCUAAGUACCCCGAGGAGAAGAAAGAAACCUCGAUUUCCAAAGUAGCGGCGAGCGAAAUGGAAAGAGCCCAAACCGUGGUGCGUGCACCGCGGGGUUGUGGACUGCAUAAGGUACUCGAAUCAAUAGCCGAACAGUUUUGGGAAAUCUGAUCAGAGAGGGUGAAAAUCCCGUAGGCGAAAUUGAUGAGAGGCUGGCAGGAUCCAGAGUACCACGAGACACGGGAAACCUUGUGGGAAGCAGGAGGGACCACCCUCCAAGGCUAAAUACUCCUCAGUGACCGAUAGCGCAUAGUACUGUGAAGGAAAGGUGAAAAGGACCCCGGGAGGGGAGUGAAAGAGAACCUGAAACCCUGUGUUUACAAGCUGUGGAAGUGCCUUAUGUGCACAACCGCGUACUUUUUGUAGAACGGUCCGGCGAGUUACGUUUACUGGCAAGGUUAAGCACUCAAGGUGCGGAGCCGAAGGGAAACCAAGUCUUAAGAGGGCGUGAAGUCAGUAAGAGUAGACCCGAAACCGGGUGAUCUACCCAUGUCCAGGCUGAAGCUGCCGUAAGAGGUAGUGGAGGGCCGAACGCACAUCCGUUGAAAAGGGUGGCGAUGAGGUGUGGGUAGGGGAGAAAUUCCAAUCGAACCCGGAGAUAGCUGGUUCUCCUCGAAAUAGCUUUAGGGCUAGCCUCGAUUUAGUCUUAUGGAGGUAGAGCACUGAAUUUCCGCGGGGGCGUCAAAGCUUACCAAAGAAUAUCAAACUCCGAAUGCCAUGUAGAUGAUGAUCGGGAGUCAGACUGCACGAGAUAAGUUGGGCAGUCAAAAGGGAAAGAGCCCAGACCUGCAGCUAAGGUCCCAAAGUGUGUGUUAAGUGGAAAAGGAUGUGGGAUUUCGAAGACAACUAGGAUGUUGGCUCAGAAGCAGCCACACAUUCAAAGAGUGCGUAAUAGCUCACUAGUCGAGAGGUCCUGCGCCGAAAAUGUCCGGGGCUGAAACACGACACCGAAGCACAGGAUACCGCAAGGUAUGGUAGAGGAGCAUUGCUGGCGCAACGAAGCAGUACCGUAAGGAGCUGUGGAGUGCCAGGAAGAGAGAAUGCCGGAAUGAGUAGCGAGAGAGAGGUGGGAAUCCUCUCGGCCGAAUAUCCAAGGUUUCCAGGGUAAAGCUGAUCUGCCCUGGGUAAGUCGGGGCCUAAGGAGAGGCAGAAAUGCGUAUCCGAUGGACAGCAGGUUGAGAUUCCUGCACUAUCUUAAAACAGAACUGUGGGGACAUUUGUGGAGAGCACAGGCGCGGAACGGAAAGCCGCGUGCAAGCGAAGGAGGAGUCACAUAGGAAAAACCGUGUGGCAAUCCAAAGGCGUGAUGCGGACCGAACUAAAGUAGGGAAGUGUGUGAGCCAUGAAUCAAGAAAAGCCGCUAUUGUUUUUAAGAUACCCGUACCGUAAACCGACACAGGUGGAUGAGGAGAGAAUCCUAAGGCCGGCGGAAGAAGCAUUGUUAAGGAACUCGGCAAAAUGACCCCGUAACUUCGGGAGAAGGGGUGCCAACGAGAGUUGGCCGCAGAGAAUAGGCUCAAGCAACUGUUUAGCAAAAACACAGGUCUAUGCAAAACCGAAAGGUGAGGUAUAUGGGCUGACGCCUGCCCGGUGCUGGAAGGUUAAGGGGAGAGGUUAGCGCAAGCGAAGCUUUGAACUUAAGCCCCAGUAAACGGCGGCCGUAACUAUAACGGUCCUAAGGUAGCGAAAUUCCUUGUCGGGUAAGUUCCGACCCGCACGAAAGGCGUAAUGAUUUGAGCACUGUCUCGACAAUGCAUCCGGUGAAAUUG